rnacentral:misc_RNA from 1 species
UACUACCUUCUCAAAAUGGCAAUUUAAUUGAAGUCGAGCAAUUUUUCAAUUGGGGAGCUUAGCAUACAGUCUGCAAUCAGAAAAUAAAAUUAAAAAAUAAUAAUAAUAAUAAAAGGAAGAUCACAAGGGACCACCCAAAAAAAAAAAGGGGGAUGAAUUAGGCCAACACAGGUACUAAGGCCCAGUCUGCCAAAUCAGUUGGUCCCAAUUCAACAUGCACAGCCACCUCUUUGCUCGCUCUCGGAGACGGCC